AGUGAACGCUGGCGGCAGGCCUAACACAUGCAAGUCGAGCGGCAGCGGGUUCCCGCGAGGGGAUGCCGGCGAGCGGCGGACGGGUGAGGAACACAUCGGAAUCUGCCUGGUUGUGGGGGAUAACGUAGGGAAACUUACGCUAAUACCGCAUGCGACCCUGAGUCGACGGACUGGGGGUGAAAGUGAGGGACCUUCGGGCCUCACGCGACCAGAUGAGCCGAUGUCGGAUUAGCUAGUUGGCGGGGUAACGGCCCGCCAAGGCGACGAUCCGUAGCUGGUCUGAGAGGAUGAUCAGCCACACUGGGACUGAGACACGGCCCAGACUCCUACGGGAGGCAGCAGUGGGAAUCUUGGACAAUGGGCGCAAGCCUGAUCCAGCCAUGCCGCGUGGGUGAAG
rnacentral:rRNA from 1 species